rnacentral:rRNA from 1 species
AUGGAUGCUGGCGGCGUGGAGAAGGCAUGCAAGUCAAGGGGGUCCCGCAAGGGACAACCGGCGAACGAGGUAGUAAUAUGUAGGAACGUACCCGGAAGUCAGGCAUAGCUAGUCGAAAGAUUAGGUAAUUCCUGAUGGUCCCGACUCCGCAAGGAUGUCGGGUAAAGUUUUUCGCUUCCGGAUCGGCCUGCAGGUUAUCAGCUAGUUGGUGAGGUAAUGGCUCACCAAGGCUACGACGACUAGGAGGCGUGAGAGCGUGGUCUCCACCGAUGGCACUGCGAUACGGGCCAUACACCUACGGGUGGCAGCAGUCGAGAGUCUUCCACAAUGGGCGAAAGCCUGAUGGAGCGACGCCGCGUGAAUGAAGAAGUCCUUCGGGAUGUAAAGUUCUUUUAUAGAGGAGAAAUUACAAUUGAUAGUACUCUAUGAAUAAGGGGUUGCUAAACUCGU